AAGACUAUACUUUCAGGGAUCAUUUCUAUAGUUCAAUACUAGAGAAGUUUCUCCCUGAACUUGUAGAGCGCCUGAAACCACAAGGAGGAGGCGCAGUGUUUUCUCCUGAGUGUGAAGCUGGCUUUUGGUGUUGGUUUAGCAACUGCCGAUAGCCAUUGGUGAUUGUUCUUCUCUUCCUUUGAAAGAGCAAGAGAAAGAGAAUGCAGUCUAAGUGGU